rnacentral:rRNA from 1 species
AUUGAACGCUGGCGGCAUGCCUUACACAUGCAAGUCGAACGGCAGCACGGGAGCAAUCCUGGUGGCGAGUGGCGAACGGGUGAGUAAUAUAUCGGAACGUGCCCAGUCGUGGGGGAUAACGUAGCGAAAGCUACGCUAAUACCGCAUACGAUCUAAGGAUGAAAGCGGGGGAUCGCAAGACCUCGCGCGAUUGGAGCGGCCGAUAUCAGAUUAGCUAGUUGGUGAGGUAAAGGCUCACCAAGCCAACGAUCUGUAGCUGGUCUGAGAGGACGACCAGCCACACUGGAACUGAGACACGGUCCAGACUCCUACGGGAGGCAGCAGUGGGGAAUUUUGGACAAUGGACGCAAGUCUGAUCCAGCCAUUCCGCGUGCAGGAUGAAGGCCCUCGGGUUGUAAACUGCUUUGUACGGAACGAAAAGGUUUCUCUUAAUACGAGGAGCUCAUGACGGUACCGUAAGAAUAAGCACCGGCUAACUACGUG